UGGCGUUUAGACAAUGCUAGGAUGUGAUGGGGAAGCCCUUCGGGGCGAAGUAGCUGAUUUCACACUGUCAAGAAAAGCUUCUAUCGAGUUUAAAGGCGCCCGUACCGUAAACCGACACAGGUGGGUGAGGAGAGUAUCCUAAGGCCAGCGAGAGAACUAUUGUUAAGGAACUCGGCAAAAUGACCCCGUAACUUAGGGAGAAGGGGUGCCUGUCUAUGACAGGCCGCAGAGAACAGGCCCAAGCGACUGUUUACCAAAAACACAGGUUUCUGCUAAGUCGUAAGACGAUGUAUAGGAGCUGACGCCUGCCCGGUGCUGGAAGGUUAAGGGGAUCUGUUAGAGCAAUCGAAGCAGUGAACUUAAGCCCCAGUAAACGGCGGCCGUAACUAUAACGGUCCUAAGGUAGCGAAAUUCCUUGUCGGGUAAGUUCCGACCCGCACGAAAGGCGUAACGAUUUGGGCACUGUCUCAACAAUAGACUCGGUGAAAUUGUAAUCCCGGUGAAGAUGCCGGGUACCUGCGACAGGACGGAAAGACCCCAUGGAGCUUUACUGUAGCUUGACGUUGGGUCUUGGUACUACAUGUACAGGAUAGGUGGGAGACUAUGAAGCAUGGACGCCAGUCUGUGUGGAGUCAUCCUUGGGAUACCACCCUUGUAGUACUGGGAUCCUAACCAUAGGCCUUGAAUCAGGUCUUGGAACACCGUCAGGUGGGCAGUUUGACUGGGGCGGUCGCCUCCUAAAAAGUAACGGAGGCGCUCAAAGGUUUCCUCAGCACGGUCGGAAAUCGUGCGAAGAGUGUAAAGGCAAAAGGAAGCUUGAUUGCAAGACAUACAGGUCGAGCAAGGACGAAAGUCGGACUUAGUGAUCCGGUGGUACCGCAUGGAAGGGCCAUCGCUCAACGGAUAAAAGCUACCCUGGGGAUAACAGGCUUAUCUCCCCCAAGAGUCCACAUCGACGGGGAGGUUUGGCACCUCGAUGUCGGCUCAUCACAUCCUGGGGCUGUAGUAGGUCCCAAGGGUUGGGCUGUUCGCCCAUUAAAGUGGUACGCGAGCUGGGUUCAGAACGUCGUGAGACAGUUCGGUCCCUAUCCGUCGCAGGCGUAGGAAAUUUGAGAAGACCUGUCCUUAGUACGAGAGGACCGGGAUGGACGUACCUCUGGUGUACCAGUUGUUCUGCCAAGGGCAUAGCUGGGUAGCUAUGUACGGAAUGGAUAAGCGCUGAAAGCAUCUAAGCGCGAAGCCAACUUCAAGAUAAGAUUUCCCACCGUAAGGGUAAGACCCCAGGAAGACUACCUGGUUGAUAGGUCGAAGGUGUAAGUGCAGUAAUGUAUUUAGCUUAUUGAUACUAAUAGGUCGAGGACUUGACCA
rnacentral:rRNA from 1 species